rnacentral:rRNA from 1 species
UACGGAGGGGGUUAGCGUUGUUCGGAAUGACUGGGCGUAAAGCGCGCGUAGGCGGACCAUCAAGUCGGGGGUGAAAUCCCGGGGCUCAACCCCGGAAUGGCCUUCGAGACUGGUGGUCUUGAGUUCGAGAGAGGUGAGUGGAACUGCGAGUGUAGAGGUGAAAUUCGUAGAUAUUCGCAAGAACACCAGUGGCGAAGGCGGCUCACUGGUCCAUAACUGACGCUGAGGCACGAAAGCGUGGGGAGCAAACAGG